UAAAGAAAUUAUACAACUUUUAUGCUACAUCAUCAAAGCAAACUAGUCAAGGGGCUGCACCUGCACCUAGAUAUAGUAACAUAGAUGUACUAAUGGGAAAUGUAGACCAUGGCUUAGAAGAAUUCUUAUAUCAAGCAAGUGAACCUGGAAUGGUUGAGGCAAAUGAGUUGGACAUGUAUAUGGUAGAACCACUAGUGAAACUUUAUGGUGAGUUUGACAUUUUAGCAUGGUGGAAAAACAAGAGAGAACAGUAUCCUAUUCUUUCACAAAUUGUUCGGGAUGUAAUGGCCAUGCAAGUGUCAACAGUUGCAUCCGAGUCUGCUUUUAGUGCUGCUGGCCGUGUUGUUGAUCCCUAUCGUAGUCGUCUUGAUUCUGAGAUGGUACAGGCUUUAAUUUGAACAAAGGAUUCGGUUGCUGCAGCAAGUAAAGAUUCUAAAAAGCUUGGAUCAAUUGUGAGUGAUCUUGAGGUUGAUGCUUUGACUAAUGUUGUGGCUAAGCUGAAAAUUGAGGAAAAUAACAAGGAGGGAGAUAAGGACAAUGAGGUGGACAAUGAGGAAGCAAAUGACAUGGAAAGUGAUCCCAUGGAUGAUGCCGAUGAUCACUAGAUGUUCAUGUCCUAUGAUCCUAUGUUUAUUAAUUAACUGCUUAUUCUAAACUUAUAUGAGCGUGUCGGCGACUAUAUGUUUCUGAACUGUUCUGAUACUUAAGACCCUAGGCCAUGCACUUGUUAUUUGUUAACUAUCAUGUGAUCAUGCACUUCUUAGUUUGGUCAUGCACAUUUUUUAAGUUA